rnacentral:lncRNA from 1 species
UGGGGCAUCUCUUUGGGAGGGUGGCCCACGCGCCCGCCCGCGCUGCGCCCCUUACAGUGAGACUCUUGGCUCGAGGGUGCAAAGGCUUCCCAGGGACCCGGUCAGAUCUCAGAGAUCACACACCUCUAGCAUCAGGAUUUCUGUCUCCAUUCCUGGGCUGGUUCUUACUGAAGUUGGAAGUCAAGACACUGAUCAUCUCAUACCCAGAGUCAACAGAUGUUUGCCAACUAUCUGCUGUGCAGGACAUUUUGUUAGAGGAAGGUUAUGCCAAGGUGAAUAAAAAGUACUCUCAAACCAAAGGAAUAAGAAAUUCAUUUAUGACUCAGAUCUUAGCUGUGCUAUAAAUCUACUCCAGAAGAACCUUGUU